rnacentral:tRNA from 1 species
GGAGAGGUGGCAGAGUGGUCGAAUGCGGCGGUCUUGAAAACCGUUGAGGGGUUAAACCCUCCGGGGGUUCGAAUCCCUCCCUCUCCGCCA